ACAACGACAACAUUGGCAAUAACAACGCGAAACGGUAACAACACUAAGAACGUCAUCGGUAACGACAAACUUUACCGAGCAAGUUGCCUCUCGUCAUCCAGUGCUACGAAUUACACACGUACACGUCGCUCUCCCGAUAUGCUGAUUCAUCGAGGAGCGAUUCGUCGUAUGUAAGUGGAUACAUACUUAAUACUAUAUUCGGCGCUCUACAGUCUACUAGAUCUAUCACGAGCAAUGCUUGGUGUUAUAUGCAUAAACAGUGCAGGCACAUUCCAAGGGGGUGUGAGAUAAACAGAGGUAUAACAGAGAGAGAUAGAUAUACACGCGCGCACGCACACAUGCGCGCGCACACACACAC